CUGACCCGAGCAAUGCCGCGUGCAGGAUGAAAGCCCUUAUGGGUUGUAAACUGCUGUGGAUAACCACUAAACAAAUGAAGGGGUUAUCUAGAAAGAGGUUGCUAACUCUGUGCCAGCAGCAGCGGUAAUACAGAGACCCCAAGCGUUAUCCGGUAUUAUUGGGCGUAAAGUGUUCAUAGGUUGCUAAAUGUGUCUUGUGUGAAAGACCGGAGCUCAACUCCGUGUUUGCAUAAGAAACUGUUUAGCUAGAAGAGUAAAGGGGUAGCUAGAACUCUACAAGUAGCGGUGAAAUGCGUUGAUAUGUAGGGGAAUACCAAAAGCGUAGGCAGGCCACUGGGUACUUCUUGACACUGCAUGAACGAAAGCGUGGGUAGCGAAUGGGAUUAGAUACCCCAGUAGUCCACGCCCUAAACGAUGAGUGCUUGCUUUUAGGAGGAGUCAAUCCCUCUUGGAGGCAAAAGCUAACGCUAUAAGCACUCCGCCUGCAGAGUACGGUCGCAAGACUAAAACGUAAAGGAAUUGACGGGAACCCGCACAAGCGGUGGAUCGUGCGGUUUAAUUCGACUCUAAACGAGAAACCUCACCAAGGUUUGACAUGUAACUGCAAACUCUAUGAAAGUAGAGCUUCUUCGAGAGUGUUACACAGAUGAUGCACGGUCGUCGUCAGCUCGUGUCGUGAGAUGUUCGGUUAAGUCCGAAAACGAGCGCAACCCUUAUCUUUAGUUAUUUAAUGUCUAAAGAGACUGCCUGGGUUUAACCAGGAGGAAGGCAGGGAUGACGUCAGAUCAGCGUGUCUCUUACACCUUGGGCUACACGCACGAUACAAUGGGCAUGGUACAACGGGACGCCAAGCGGUAACGCGGAGCAAAUCCUAUAAAACCACCCCAAGUACGGAUUGAGGUCUGAAACUCGACCUCAUGAAGCUGGAAUCGCUAGUAAUCGCAAAUCAUCAUGUUGCGGUGAAUACGUUCUCGGGUUUUGUACACACUGCCCGUCAUGGCCUGAAAUGAAAGAGCCCCAAAGCAUC
rnacentral:rRNA from 1 species